rnacentral:rRNA from 1 species
AGUGGCAGACGGGUGAGUAACGCGUGGGAACCUUCCCUGUGGUACGGAAUAACUUCGGGAAACCGAAGCUAAUACCGUAUAUCUCCUCCGGAAGAAAGAUUUAUCGCCAUAGGAUGGGCCCGCGUUGGAUUAGCUAGUUGGUAGGGUAAUGGCCUACCAAGGCAACGAUCCAUAGCUGGUCUGAGAGGAUGAUCAGCCACACUGGGACUGAGACACGGCCCAGACUCCUACGGGAGGCAGCAGUGGGGAAUAUUGGACAAUGGGGGAAACCCUGAUCCAGCCGUGCCGCGUGAGUGAAGAAGGCCUUAGGGUUGUAAAGCUCUUUUGGCGGGGACGAUAAUGACGGUACCCGCAGAAUAAGCCCCGGCUAACUUCGUGCCAGCAGCCGCGGUAAUACGAAGGGGGCUAGCGUUGUUCGGAAUUACUGGGCGUAAAGCGCACGCAGGCGGAUUGAUAAGUCAGGGGUGAAAUCCCGGGGCUCAACCUCGGAAUUGCCUUUGA